CAGAUGGGAAGUUAUUCACACGGAAUUCCCCUGUUUGGAAAAGCCUUUCAGCCAACAUACAGCAUAUCAGCCAGUCGCUCGGCUGGGAAGGCAGAGGGACGGAUGCGCGUGUAGUCAGCUCCCGUAUUGGAGUCUGCAAUAAUUAAACACAUCCAUCAAAACAUGACAAUGGUGCCAGGAAGCAUUGCAUCGUGGGACUCAGAAUGAGACCAGGGUAACCGUGACAACAGCAAUCAAACACAGAUUAUGUUUCAGAGCAGGAUUCCUCUUGUUUCCUGGAUGUUUCUGUAUGCAGAACUGUGGCGCUGGGUACAAAAAACAAAACCCACUGUAUGGGUUUUGUUUUCCGGCUUCUGAGUAAACCCUGAAGACACUGAAAAUCCCAGGAGAUCAGAAGUUUCACAAAUACUCAAACCAGCUUGCGAUUAAGGUUUACUGGAUUAUACUAAGAAAUCAGAAUCUCUAAACCCAGGGCUACUGUUUAUGAUGGCAGAAACUGUUACCAGGACAAAGUGUUUGUAUCCACUGUAAGAGUAAAUGCUACAGUAACAUGUCUUUCCUUCUCUUUUUCUUUUUUGGCUUAGCUGUGAUAAGACAAUAAUGAAACAGUGACUUGGAAGUAUUCUUGUUAUAAUUAGAAACCUCAAGCCGAAUGUUGUUGUCAACUAUUCAUAAACAAAUUUGGGUCAACCACAUACACAGCUGUUUCUUUCAAAAAUGUGUUAAACUUCUAUUGUUAUUAAAUGAAAAUAUAACACAAAUAAUACAGAUAAAAACAUAUUUAUACCUUAAUUGUCAAUUAUGUAAUGUAUAUUUAAUUCUUGCAACUGAGCAAAAAAGGUGAACAUACUAGUGCUUUAUGUUCUUCCCUUCCUUGUUUAUUUAUUUAUUUACUUAUUGUGUCUUCUCCAUCCAUUUCCA